rnacentral:rRNA from 1 species
ACGCUGGCGGCAUGCUUUACACAUGCAAGUCGGACGGCAGCACAGAGAAGCUUGCUUCUUGGGUGGCGAGUGGCGAACGGGUGAGUAAUAUAUCGGAACGUACCGAGUAAUGGGGGAUAACUAAUCGAAAGAUUAGCUAAUACCGCAUAUUCUCUGAGGAGGAAAGCAGGGGACCUUCGGGCCUUGCGUUAUUCGAGCGGCCGAUAUCUGAUUAGCUAGUUGGUGGGGUAAAGGCCUACCAAGGCGACGAUUAGUAGCGGGUCUGAGAGGAUGAUCCGCCACACUGGGACUGAGACACGGCCCAGACUCCUACGGGAGGCAGCAGUGGGGAAUUUUGGACAAUGGGCGCAAGCCUGAUCCAGCCAUGCCGCGUGUCUGAAGAAGGCCUUCGGGUUGUAAAGGACUUUUGUCAGGGAAGAAAAGGCUGUUGCUAAUACCGACAGCUGAUGACGGUACCUGAAGAAUAAGCACCGGCUAACUACGUGCCAGCAGCCGCGGUAAUACGUAGGGUGCGAGCGUUAAUCGGAAUUACUGGGCGUAAAGCGAGCGCAGACGGUUACUUAAGCAGGAUGUGAAAUCCCCGGGCUCAACCUGGGGACUGCGUUCUGAACUGGGUGACUAGAGUGUGUCAGAGGGAGGUAGAAUUCCACGUGUAGCAGUGAAAUGCGUAGAGAUGUGGAGGAAUACCGAUGGCGAAGGCAGCCUCCUGGGAUAACACUGACGUUCAUGCUCGAAAGCGUGGGUAGCAAACAGGAUUAGAUACCCUGGUAGUCCACGCCCUAAACGAUGUCAAUUAGCUGUUGGGCAACUUGAUUGCUUAGUAGCGUAGCUAACGCGUGAAAUUGACCGCCUGGGGAGUACGGUCGCAAGAUUAAAACUCAAAGGAAUUGACGGGGACCCGCACAAGCGGUGGAUGAUGU